GACGAACGCUGGCGGCGUGCUUAACACAUGCAAGUCGAACGGAAGGGCCCCCUUGUGGGGUACUCGAGUGGCGAACGGGUGAGUAACACGUGAGUAACCUACCCUUGACUUUGGGAUAACUUCAGGAAACUGGGGCUAAUACCGGAUAGGAGCUCCUGCUGCAUGGUGGGGGUUGGAAAGUUUCGGCGGUUGGGGAUGGACUCGCGGCUUAUCAGCUUGUUGGUGGGGUAGUGGCUCACCAAGGCUUUGACGGGUAGCCGGCCUGAGAGGGUGACCGGCCACAUUGGGACUGAGAAACGGCCCAGACCCCCACGGGGGGGAGAAGUGGGGAAUAUUGCAAAAGGGGGGGAAGCCUGAUGCAGCAACGCCGGGGGCGGGAUGAGGGCCUUCGGGUUGUAAACCGCUUUCGCCUGGGACGAAGGGGGAGGGACGGUAAUGGGUAAAGAAGCACCGGCUAACUACGU
rnacentral:rRNA from 1 species